rnacentral:misc_RNA from 1 species
CACGGUUGCACCUCAUCGCUUUUCCAUAACGUCCACCAUUACCACCGCUUUUCCUCAUCUUGCGACUGUUCAACUCAAAAACGUCGAACAUUGGUGACGCCUUCGUCACCUAUCCUCUAGAUUCGUCACUUUGAUUCCUUCUAUUCCAAAAUCCAAAUCUAAAUAAAAGUCAUUCUCUUUCACUGUUUCCCUCCCUCUCUCUCGCCCCCACGCUUCUCCUUAUACUCCUUUCUUUGCAUGAACAUUCUCUUGUCGCUAUAAGUACCGCUAUUUUCUUAUUAUGCACAUGCUCUCUUCGCGAUUUUCUAUGCUCUCUUCGUCGGAUUCUCUCUCCCUCUAGAAUUGUCCAUCUCUGCUAUUUCCAUCUCCAAUGGCGAUUCUCGACUCGCCGGAGAAUUUAACUGCUACUACUUCCACUGCUGCUCCUGAUAUCACUGAGUCCUCCUCGGAUCUUAACCUCUCGCUUCGACGGAGGCGGAGCUCCUCCAACUCGGCUGGAGCCGUCGCUGAAUUGUCUUCGAAUAUUGAUCAGCUGGAAUCUGAUGUUGGAGGCGAGAUGAUGAUGGAUCCGGGACCUGUGGAGGAAUCGGAAGCUUUGAAAAGUAAUGGAAAAGAUUGUGGCCACGACAAGGAUAAGGUUGAUAAUCGUGAGAAUCGUGGAGGGUCGGAUAUUAAAUUUACGUAUCGGCCAUCUGUGCCUGCUCAUCGGGUGCUCAAGGAGAGUCCACUGAGCUCUGAUUUAAUAUUUAAACAAAGUCAUGCAGGUCUCUUCAACCUCUGUAUAGUAGUGCUUGUUGCUGUUAACAGCAGGCUCAUCAUUGAGAAUCUAAUGAAGUAUGGUUGGUUAAUUAAAACUGGGUUUUGGUUUAGUUCAAGGUCAUUGAGAGAUUGGCCCCUUCUAAUGUGCUGUCUUACUCUCCCAAUUUUCCCUCUUGCUGCCA